GAAAAGCUGAAAACCAUUCAUCUGGAUCCAGAGCUCAUAGCAGAACAACUCUAUGAACAGAAGAUUUUGGCAGUGGAGAUUCUCCAACACAGGUUCAACAUUGAGAAGAUGGUGAAGAUUGCUGAAAUCUUGCUGACGUACAGUGAUGAAGGAGAAACAUGCGAUUUGCAGACCCCACUAGAGGCCUUACAGGAAAAAUGCAACACCACCUCAGCCACCAAUUCCCACGUGGUCCUGCAGCUUGAGCACGCUCAGUCGCUUCUUCUCCAGUUCUCAGAGGGCAUC